UACAGAGGUCUCGAGCGUUGUUCGGAUUCAUUGGGCGUAAAGGGUGCGUAGGUGGCGCUGUAAGUCGGGUGUGAAAUCCUGGGGCUUAACCCCGGAACUGCAUUCGAUACUGCAGUGCUUGAGGACUGGAGAGGAGACUGGAAUUCAUGGUGUAGCAGUGAAAUUCGUAGAUAUCGGGAGGAACACCAGUGGCGAAGGCGGAGACCUGGGCCGAUACUGACGCUGAGGGUGCGAAAAGCGUGGGGGAGCAAACAGG
rnacentral:rRNA from 1 species